rnacentral:rRNA from 1 species
AGCAGCCGCGGUAAUUCCAGCUCCAAUAGCGUAUAUUAAAGUUGUUGCAGUUAAAAAGCUCGUAGUUGAAUUUCGGGAUCAGUACGCUAGUCGUGCCUUCGGUACGUACUGGUGCUGCUGAUUCCUACCUUCUGACGAACCGUUAUGUCAUUAAUUUGGUGUGGCAGGAAAUCAGGAUUGUUACUUUGAAAAAAUUAGAGUGUUUAAAGCAGGCUCGCGCUUGAAUACAUUAGCA